CCUACGGGGGGCAGCAGUGAGGAAUAUUGGUCAAUGGUCGGGAGACUGAACCAGCCAAGCCGCGUGAGGGAUGAAGGUACAGAGUAUCGUAAACCUCUUUUGUCAGGGAACAAAGGCGGGGACGUGUCCCCGGAUGAGUGUACCUGAAGAAAAAGCAUCGGCUAACUCCGUGCCAGCAGCCGCGGUAAUCCGGAGGAUGCGAGCGUUAUCCGGAUUUAUUGGGUUUAAAGGGUGCGCAGGCGGUCUGUUAAGUCAGCGGUCAAAGCCCGGGGCUCAACCCCGGCCCGCCGUUGAAACUGGCAGGCUCGAGUUGGAGAGAAGUAUGCGGAAUGCGCGGUGUAGCGGUGAAAUGCAUAGAUAUCGCGCAGAACUCCGAUUGCGAAGGCAGCAUGCCGGCUCCACACUGACGCUGAGGCACGAAAGCGUGGGUAUCGAACAGGAUUAGAUACCCCUGUAGUC
rnacentral:rRNA from 1 species